UUUUAAACUCGGAACACGUCAUCGUUUCGCAACUUUUUAGGUAAAUAAACAACAAGUUUCAUGUAUGUGAUUGCAUGUAUGUGAUUGUGUAUUAGAUGGAGGCACGAACAUUGCCGCAGAUCGAAAUUUGAUCAGACAGUUCUAAAAAUCAACGUGGCUUCAGUGCGCCGGAACUGAAGCACAUCCCUGUAGCCGCGCAAGUUCUGAAGACUUUUAUCAAAGCCAGCUCACUGAGGACAUUGUUUUCUAUCCAGUCUUUUCCCGAAAAAUUUGUCUAAUUCCCCUAUCAAAGGACCUGAUCCAACAUGCGCACUCUGAAGGGCAAACCCAAAGAGACUGGUCGCCAAAAGCGAGAAAGGAAGAAGGAAUUUUUGGAGAACAAAAAAAACAUAAUGUCUGUUGUUGUACCAACUCUCUGUGCACUUGGUAGUUUACUCAUUCUUUUCAUCUAUUAUAAAACAAGACCUAGAGCCAUUCCAGAGAAUAUGUCCUAAUUUUAUCAGCCUGUUGUAAAUUUUUAAUUUUAUCAUAUUUAUUUUUAUGGAAACAAACAUCUGAUUUAUACUUCAAUGUUAACAACUGUAUUUUGUUAUCUUGUUUUAAAGUAAAAGAUAAUUUAAUGUAAGCCAAAAAAUAA